rnacentral:rRNA from 1 species
CGAGAACACCCGGCGAAUUUAAGCAUAUUACUAACCGGAGGAAAGAAACCAACAGGGACGUCCUCAGUAGCGGCGAGCGAAGCGGACGAUGCCCAAACCGAACCGCGGUUCCCGAGGGGGCCGCGGAGUGUGGAGAGGAUGAGCUCGCGAGGGGGCGGGACGGGUUCCAAUCCGUCUGGAAGGGCGGAGGCACGGAGGGCGAUUCCCCGUACGUGCUCGGUCCGUCCCCGACGAGCGAACGCAUCGGAGAGUCGGGCCGCUUGAGAGUGCAGCCCGAAUGGGGUGAUAGGUCUCAUCCAAGGCUAAGUACGUGGGAGACGCCGAUAGCGAACAAGUACGGCGACGGAAAGGUGAAAAGAACCUCGAAAGGGGGGUCAAAAGCGCUCGAAAUCGUAGAGGGGGAAGCGGACCUGACCGACGAGACCUCGUCGUCGCUCGCGCUCGACCCACGCUUCGUCGCGGAGUUCCGGAGGG